rnacentral:rRNA from 1 species
UACGUAGGGUGCGAGCGUUAAUCGGAAUUACUGGGCGUAAAGGGCGCGUAGGCGGCCUUCUAAGUCAGACGUGAAAUCCCCCGGCUUAACCUGGGAACUGCGUCUGAUACUGGAAGGCUUGAGUGCGGGAGAGGGAUGUGGAAUUCCAGGUGUAGCGGUGAAAUUCGUAGAUAUUCGGAGGAACACCAGUGGCGAAGGCGGCUCACUGGUCCGGUACUGACGCUGAGGUGCGAAAGCGUGGGGAGCAAACAGG